rnacentral:rRNA from 1 species
UGCUCCUGGAUUCAGCGGCGGACGGGUGAGUAAUGCCUAGGAAUCUGCCUGGUAGUGGGGGAUAACGUCCGGAAACGGGCGCUAAUACCGCAUACGUCCUGAGGGAGAAAGUGGGGGAUCUUCGGACCUCACGCUAUCAGAUGAGCCUAGGUCGGAUUAGCUAGUUGGUGGGGUAAAGGCCUACCAAGGCGACGAUCCGUAACUGGUCUGAGAGGAUGAUCAGUCACACUGGAACUGAGACACGGUCCAGACUCCUACGGGAGGCAGCAGUGGGGAAUAUUGGACAAUGGGCGAAAGCCUGAUCCAGCCAUGCCGCGUGUGUGAAGAAGGUCUUCGGAUUGUAAAGCACUUUAAGUUGGGAGGAAG